AUGUGAAACUGAUCUUUAAGAAUAAAAGAGCAAAAAAUUUACGAACAAAAGUGGUGCUUUAUAGAAGAUUUGUCAUGGUUUGUGACUACCAGCUAUCUGGACAGAUUUGUAGUAUCAUUUUCUCUAAUUCAAAGAGGAUGCAAAUAUCCCAUUUAAGCACGUUACCUUCAAAGAAAUUGUGCUGUACACGCAUAAUUAGGACAGACUAAUCCAUAGCAAAAAAGAACCAACCACUAUAUCUAUCAUUCUAUAUUUCUGCCUAGUGAGAGGAGCCUACUUCAAGAGAGGCAACGUCAAAUCAGAUCUGCAACAUCCAGAAAUUAAAACUCAAAUUAAAAGUAAAUUUCUCAAGGUAGAAUAAUAUUAUUGAUAAAUACUUCGCUAACUAAAGUUUAUAAAAGAUAAUAUAUCCUCAAUGUCAUAACUAUGCUAGCAAGGGAAGCUACAAUCCACAGACGGAGUAGGAAACAAAAGUCUGUUCAAGUAAUCUAAAUUUUAGCAGUGCAUUGAUUUAUUAAAUGUAGGUGUACCUUUCCUCUGUCUCAUGGCUAGAAGGCCUUAAUAUCCUGAAAUGGAGUACAUUUUCCUUGAAUUUAAUCCUAUUUUCACAGAGAGAGAAGACCAAACAGGUUGGUUUAUGGAGAAUUACCUGAAAGCAAAGGUAAAAAGAAUGAGAAAUACUGUUGUUGCAGAUUUACACUGCAAGCAAGAAUAAUAACUUUGUUAUCUAAGCAUGCCCAAGAGAAUAAAAGAAUUACCAGCAGUAGGAAAGAAGUCACUCCAAGAUAAGUAAAGACACAAUAUAUUUAGCUAUGGUUCAGACUGUGAGUGAAGCCUAUGUGGUCUUCUGUGCUAAGCUUAAAAUAAAUCCACAUCAGACAGGAAAAUCAUAAAUACAAAGGCACCUGUUCGAUAUAAGAAAGGUUUGUGGGUAACUCCAAGAACACAACAGUGUCUGCUAAUGUUAAGUUAAGACCAGUGCUUCCAGCACGGAUGCCAAUCAAGGCAAUUUUUGACCUGAUGAAAUCCAAAGAGUCGUUAUGCGUAAGUAAGGGCCUUUAAUACAAAAUCAUUUGAUAGAAGACUUAAGGUAGAACAAAAAUAUAGGAAGAGUACUGGCAUUACAAUACACNNN
rnacentral:lncRNA from 1 species